rnacentral:rRNA from 1 species
UGCACCCGCGAACUCGAUUUCCUUUCGAGGGAAGCAUGAAGAUUUGGUCAUGGSSGAAGCCUGAACAGCAUCCCGCUUCAAGAWWGACGCCUAUAGUGUWAACGGYUUUUUUACGCAAGAAUCAUUYUACGAGUAGAUGUGACGUAGUKUAGAAUAAGCMCCGCUAACUCCGUGCCAGCAGCGCGUAAUACGAAGGGUGCAAGCGUUAUCCGGAUUCAUCGRGUUUAAAGRGUGCGCAGRUUGGAAUGUAAGUCAGUGKGAAAUACUGCCGCUUAACGGUAGGACUGCCAUUGAUACUGCGUUCUUGAGUAUGGUUGAGGUAGGUGGAAUGUGUUGUGUAGCGGUGAAAUGCAUAGAUAUGACACAGAACGCCGAUUGCGAAGGCAACUUACUAAGCCAUUACUGACGCUGAGGCACGAAAGCGUGGGGAGCGAACAGGAUUAGAUACCCUGGUAGUCCACGCCGUAAACGAUGUUCACUCGCUGUUUGCGAUACACAGUAAGCGGCUAAGCGAAAGCAUUAAGUGAACCACCUGGGGAGUACGAUCGCAAGGUUGAAACUCAAAGGAAUUGACGGGGGCCCGCACAAGCGGAGGAACAUGUGGUUUAAUUCGAUGAUACGCGAGGAACCUUACCUGGGCUUAAAUGUAGAUUGCAUAGGGUAGAAAUAUCCUUUCCCUUCGGGGCUAUUUACAAGGUGCUGCAUGGUUGUCGUCAGCUCGUGCCGUGAGGUGUCGGGUUAAGUCCCAUAACGAGCGCAACCCCUAUCGUUAGUUKCCAGCGGAUAAUGCCGGGGACUCUAGCGAGACUGCCACCGUWMGGUGAGAGGAAGGUGGGGAUGACGUCAAAUCAGCACGGCCCUUAUGUCCAGGGCUACACACGUGUUACAAUGGCCGAUACAAAGGGCAGCUACCGGGCGACCGGAUGCUAAUCUYUAAAGUCGGUCCCAGUUCGGAUUGGAGUCUGCAACCCGACUCCAUGAAGUUGGAUUCGCUAGUAAUCGCGCAUCAGCCAUGGCGCGGUGAAUACGUUCCCGGGCCUUGUACACACCGCCCGUCAAACCAUGGGAGCUGGGGGUGCCUGAAGUCUGCCACCGCAAGGAGCGGYMURGGSUAAAAYUAGUSACUGGGGUUAAGUCGUAACAAGGUAACCGU